GACGAACGCUGGCGGCGUGCUUAACACAUGCAAGUCGAACGGAAAGGCCCUGCUUUUGUGGGGUGCUCGAGUGGCGAACGGGUGAGUAACACGUGAGUAACCUGCCCUUCACUUUGGGAGAACUUCAGGAAGCUGGGGCUAAUACCGGAUAGGAGCUCCCGCUGCAUGGUGGGGGUUGGAACGUUUCGGCGGUUGGGGAUGUACUGGCGGCUUAUCGGCUUGUUGGUGGGGUAGUGGCUGACCAAGGCUUUGACGCGUAGCCGGCCUGAGAGGGUGAGCGGCCAAACUGGGAUGGGGCUGCGGCACGGACCCGUAAGGGAGGCGACGGAGCGGAAGGUUGCACAAUGGGCUGAACCAUGAUGCAACAAAGCCACGUGGGGGAAGACGGCAAUCCGGUAGUAAACCGCAUUCGUCUGUGACGAAGCGUGAAUGACGGUAAUGGGUGAAGAAGCACCGGCUAACUCCGUG
rnacentral:rRNA from 1 species